AUUGAACGCUGGCGGCAGGCCUAACACAUGCAAGUCGAGCGGAUGAAGGGAGCUUGCUCCUGGAUUCAGCGGCGGACGGGUGAGUAAUGCCUAGGAAUCUGCCUGGUAGUGGGGGAUAACGUCCGGAAACGGGCGCUAAUACCGCAUACGUCCUGAGGGAGAAAGUGGGGGAUCUUCGGACCUCACGCUAUCAGAUGAGCCUAGGUCGGAUUAGCUAGUUGGUGGGGUAAAGGCCUACCAAGGCGACGAUCCGUAACUGGUCUGAGAGGAUGAUCAGUCACACUGGAUCUGAGACACGGUCCAGACUCCUACGGGAGGCAGCAGUGGGGAAUAUUGGACAAUGGGCGAAAGCCUGAUCCAGCCAUGCCGCGUGUGUGAAGAAGGUCUUCGGAUUGUAAAGCACUUUAAGUUGGGAGGAAGGGCAGUAAGUUAAUACCUUGCUGUUUUGACGUUACCAACAGAACAAGCACCGGCUAACUUCGUG
rnacentral:rRNA from 1 species